GCAGCUUUACACUAUCCAGUUCCCAUUCUAACUUCAUUCAUGGGACUGGACCUUCUCUUUCAUCAUUAGCAGGUCCCUUGGAAACUAAUUAGCAGCCAAUAGUGUUGACCUAUUCAGUACUAUUUAGAGGUUCACUUGGCCAAGAAGGGGACUCUAUGGAUAAACUUUGAAUGUGCAUAUGUAUGUAUGCGUAUUUGUGAGGGGAGGAUGUAUUUGUCUGCACACACAUGUGAAGGGUAGAGAUAGAUACUGGAUGCCACCUUCAGUUGCUCUCUAACCUGAUUUCUCUAGUUCUUCUCUAACCUGGUAUUUUGAGACAAGGUUUCUUACUGAAUGAGAUACUCAGGGAUUCAGCUAGAGUAGCUGUCCAGCAAUACUCAGGGAUACUCCUGUCGGCUUUAUCAGUGCUGGGCUGUUUUGUCUGCCUUUGAGGUAGGUUUUACGGAUGUAACAUUAAGUUCUCAUCUUGAAUGACAAGUGUUUUGCCCGUAGAGGACUGAGCCAUUACCCCAACCACUGAAACCAACUUUGACUGUAAGAACACAGUAAGUCUAAUGAAGUAGAAUUCUAUUCUAGAAUGUCACAUUGUUGUGUGAGAGUGAACUAUGUUUGCAAUUAUAGUGACAGACAAGUCUAUGUUCAUUAAACAUCAGUCAAUAUUUAUUAAGUGAGUUAAGGAAAAAGGCAAACCAAACAAAACCCGCUUCCAUACAACAGCCUUUAUCCUGUAAAAUCUACACCAUUUUCCAACUCCACAGUUCUUAGCUAGCUUUUGUUUUCUUUUAAGUGUGUGUGUGUGUGUGUGUGUGUGUGUGUGUGUGUGUACACAUAUAUGCUUCUCUGUUCUCUCUGGGUUGAUUUUUUAAUCCUCUGUCUGUAUAUAUUGGGAAAAAGGGCACCAGAUGUGUCUGUGUGUACAUGUAUGUGCACAAAUGUGUGUGUCAGGGGUGUGUGUAUACUUACUUAGGAAGAAAAAAGCACACCCACCCACACCUGAGAGUCUUCUGGUCCCUGAAAGCAGCUGCCUUGAUAUCUUUGGUGCUGAAGCCAUGUUCAAGACUUAUGUCCAGGGGUCUGCCUCUGAAGAUUCCCCUCUGCAUUGUAAUCUUCCAGACUUCCUGCAACCCUUCUUGCCAGGGCUGAUUUUGCUUCUGUGUACAUUCUUGCUGUGUUGAAAGCCUAAGGGUUGUCAAGGUGCUGGAGGAGGACAGGGUUUGUUCUUCAAUUUGUGAACUGCGUGUGGAAGGCACUUAAGUGCUGCAGUUUCUCAGUCUACAUUACUGAUGUGGGCAACAUAAUAAUUCCUUUUACCAUCUCACAGUCCAUAAAAUGAAUCCCUUCUAAUAGUGUUGGUGCAAUGAAAAAAAUGUUAAGUUAAUUGAACAGACUUGGGUGGCAGUCUGAGUAACUCCUGAUUGAGCCUUGGUGGAAUGCUCUAGUGCCCCUUAAUGCUAUGGCAAAGCACUGUUGCAGAGAGAAAGUCUAAAUAGAUCCUUGGUGAACUGUACUCUUUCCUUCCCCCUCCCUCUCUCCCUCUUCUUUCCUUCCUUCUCCCAUUUCUUGCCUCCCUAAUUCUUCUCUUCCUCCAUCUUCUUCCCCCCUUCUCUUUCCUCUCCUCUCUUUCUUCCAAACAUUUAUCAUCAUCACUUUUCAGUGGGACAAGUAGAUGGCAUUAAAAGCGAUUCGAUGCUCCCCCAUCAGUUUCUCUGCAGCUUCACUGAAAACUGCUCAUUUACACAAUUCCAACACUCGGAACCUUAUGGUACUAAAUUCCUAGCUGCUUUUUCUUUUAAAAUAAAUAUACUUGCUUCAAAGCAAGCUUGUAUUUUCCUCAUGCCUUUUACUAGUGUUUCAGUCACCAAUAAACUAUAAGAGGAAAAUCCUGACUAAAUUUAGAACUCCUUCCCAUGGAGUAUCUGACGAUGUUCUUUGAAGAUAAAUCCUGCAAUGCAUUCAAAAUGAUAUACGGAAACUCUUCUUAAAGAUGGGGGCUGGCAGGGGUCAGCUCUUUCUGUUUUUGGAUCUGAACUGUGGGGGAUAGAGAUUAUACAUUCUUUUUCCGGCAAAUGCUAUGUUCAUGUUUCUCACUUUUUAAUUCAGUCUUUUAUGAUUGUGCAAAGCCGACUUCCAGUUAACUUUAUGCCCUUAGAGGCUAAACCUUUGGUUUAAAGCUGGUUGAAGGUUUGGACAUGCUCGUUUCUAUAACGUAUGUACUUUCAAGGCUGUCAGUGACCCAGCAUUGGGGAAAGCCGCUUUUAGAGUUGAUUGACAAUCAGCUGCUGGUCUUAGAGAGCAAAGGAGGCCACACCAAAUAGCUAGGCAUCCCUGCUUUCCCACGUUGCUCAGGGAUGGUGCUGGAGGAUCCGUCUCACAGGGUCCUGUGACAAUGUGAGUGCAGUUGUAGUAUCAGUUCUGCAACUGAGAGAUCAACAGCUGACAUCUAAUCAAACCUUCCUGUGUGCACCCUGCCUUGUGUGGACACCCUGUCUCUGUAAACUCUGGCUCCUUUCUGUUGCUUUCAGCUUAACAGGUUGCCUAGGGCUUUCGUCCUAGGUUUCCCUCCUUACGAGUUUAGUGUAAGUCUCACCAACAGCGUUGGCUUCUUUAUCCCUUAAUCAGCUGUUGUGAUCACUAAACUAGUUCUGGAAGGAAACCUGCUGAACAAUUUUCUCUGCCACUGCACCACUACUAAAAGACUAAAGAAAUUCUAAACCUUUGGAGAUUGUGGCUCUGCCUCCUUCCCACUGCAGUGCGGCUGAUCACAAGAAACCCCGUCUUCUCUGGAGACUCAGCUCUGCCUGCAAUCUCCACCUGAAUGCCAUGUCUUUAUUCUGACCUCUACACUGCUAUUCACCAUGAAGUCACUUCGAACUCCAACUCAUGGGUAAAGUCUAGUUUAUUAAGCAAAGAAGAGAGGAGAGAAGAGAGAGAGAGAGAGAGAGAGAGAGAGAGAGAGAGAGAGAGAGAGAGAGAGAGAGAAAAGAAGAAGAAGAAGAAGAAGAAGAAGAAGAAGAAGAAGAAGAAGAAGAAGAAGAAAUAGAAGUAGUAGAAGAAUUAGAAGAAGAAAUAGAAGAAGUAAGAAAGGAAGAAAGGAAGGAAGGAUGGAAGGAAGAAAAAAAUAACAGAAAGUUUCACCAAGCAAAAGGUUAGGGAUCUGCCAGCAUGCCCAAGGCCUCAGGUUAAAUCCAUAGAAGAGUGAAGAAGACAAGAACAUGCUAGCAAUUUUUCUUGGUAUUUAUUUAUUCAAACUUGGGAUUAAGGAUAGAAUACUUUACAGUAGAGACAUCUGUACCCUGGAGACAGCUGUUUUCCUUAACAUUGGAUGUGAAUGAAUACAGCUAGGGUUACGGUGCUAUUUGUCUUUUGAAAUGAGUUAAAAGAGAGCAGAAGAGACGGCUCAGUGCUUCAGAGGACUUACUAGUUUUGCAGAUGGCCCAGGUUUGGUUCCCAGCAUUCACAUGGUGGCCUGAAAUCACCUCAACUCUAGGUUCAGGGGAUUAUGCACGCAGCUGGUGAGCACAAAUUCACGUAGUCUCACACACAUACAUAAGUUAAAAUAAAAGAACUUAAAAAGUAAAAGGUCAUCUAGACUGAAGUGAUAGUUUCCUUGGGAGUUGUGUGCAAAGCCCUGAGUUUAACAUCUCCUCUCUCAAAAGGUGGUCAUGAAGGAAGGCAUUUGCAGCCAAGAAACGACAAAAAGAUUUGAACUAUUCUAACUCUUGAGUUUCCUUUGAGGGAUUAGAGCUCAAACCUAGAAUGUUGUGUAUGCUACACAAUCACGGUACCACUAAGCUGAAUCGUCACACCAACAGUUGAUAUUCGAAAUCCUUUGUGUAUGUGUACGCUUUAGCACAAUGACCAUAUUUUAUGUAUAACUAAUUUUUCUUCACCAGAAAGCCUAAAGUUGACAUUAGGAUGCUUCAAGGAGAACCCUUUGCAUAUGCCACUCCAAACCUUGUAUGGAUUUUGCUGACAGAGACUGUGAUCUCUGGGCCUGCUGCUCAGAUUCCUUCCAGAGGUUAUGACCUGUGACUCUGAAUAAUAAAAGUCCUUAUCCAGGCUGAGGAACCAAUACUGCAAGACAGAAGGAAUGGGAGAGAAAGGACAAGACCUGCCAAAGCCAUGCCCACCCUGCUCAAGCUGGCCGGAGUCCCUUCAAGGUUCAAUGCUUUGUCUUCACCAUCUGAGAUCAAACGUCUUUAAUUGGGAGCUACAGAAUUUACUGAAUUUAGGAUUCAUUUAAAACUCACUGGCUUAGACUUAUAAUGCUAACCCCCCACUGCUCUGUCUACUUAUGAAGAAGUCUUACACCACAUAGAUUUGCUUAUUUCUGAGAAUGAAAGACUCUUUAUAAUCCUAUUUUAAAAGCUCCUAAGGAGCACAGAGACUAUAAAUUAUAAUUCAGUAUUUGGAAGGGUUGGAUUUAAGUGAGAUAGGAUCAUAUGGUUCAUAGAUUUCUUUUAAUAAACACAUAA